UUAUUAAGGGUCCAAAAGGUGAAGCGGUUGGAUCCAUUACUCAACCCUUACCUAGCAGUUAUUUGAUCAUCCGAGCUACUUCAGAGUCAGAUGGAAGGUGCUGGAUGGAUGCUUUGGAGUUGGCUUUGAAAUGUUCUAGUCUUCUUAAACGUACAAUGAUCAGAGAAGGAAAGGAACAUGACCUGAGCGUUUCAUCAGAUAGCACACAUGUGACUUUCUAUGGCUUACUACGUGCUAACAAUCUCCACAGUGGUGAUAACUUCCAGUUAAAUGAUAGUGAAAUUGAACGACAACAUUUUAAGGACCAAGAUAUGUAUUCUGAUAAAUCUGAUAAAGAAAAUGAUCAAGAACAUGAUGAGUCUGAUAAUGAGGUGAUGGGGAAAAGUGAAGAAAGUGACACAGAUACAUCAGAAAGACAAGAUGACUCAUAUAUCGAACCUGAGCCUGUUGAGCCUUUAAAGGAGACUACCUACACUGAACAGAGCCAUGAAGAACUUGGAGAGGUAAAAGUCUGCUAUUUUUAGAGGUUCUGGAUUUUCAUAUUCUUGGGAAUUCUUAAAUGAAAUUGAAGAUAUUAUUUGCUUGAUCUAUUGCCUAUUUUUCUGUGAUAGAAUGUGAUAUUUUAAAAAUUGCAUACAUAUG
rnacentral:sRNA from 1 species